GAUGAACGCUGGCGGCGUGCCUAAUACAUGCAAGUCGAGCGAACAGACGAGGAGCUUGCUCCUCUGACGUUAGCGGCGGACGGGUGAGUAACACGUGGAUAACCUCCUUAUAAGACUGGGAUAACUUCGGGAAACCGGAGCUAAUACCGGAUAAUAUAUUGAACGGCAUGGUUCAAUAGUGAAAGACGGUUUUCCUGUCACUAUUAGAUGAUUCCGCGCCGCAUUAGCUAGUUGGUAAGGUACCGGCUUACCAAGGCAACGAUGCGUAGCCGACCUGAGAGGGUGAUCGGCCACACUGGAACUGAGACACGGUCCAGACUCCUACGGGAGGCAGCAGUAGGGAAUCUUCCGCAAUGGGCGAAAGCCUGACGGAGCAACGCCGCGUGAGUGAUGAAGGUCUUCGGAUCGUAAAACUCUGUUAUUAGGGAAGAACAAAUGUGUAAGUAACUAUGCACGUCUUGACGGUACCUAAUCAGAAAGCCACGGCUAACUACGUG
rnacentral:rRNA from 1 species